rnacentral:lncRNA from 1 species
AAUGCAUCUGCCUUGAUCCUCUUUACCUCAUAUCUUGGGAGCAGCCCACAUUUCUCCUAGCAAACAGGACUAAGCAACCAAUGUCAUUCACAGUACUUAGCAGGAGAGCUCAACCCAUACUGACUUUUCCCUUAUUUUUUUCUCUCUAACCAGCAGGCAGGAGGCCGGCAUGCCUAGCAUUCCAGUAGCCUAUGAAGCCCACAACCUUCUCAUUUCUCUCAAUCACCG